AGAAUCAACGCUGGCGGCGUGCCUAACACAUGCAAGUCGAACGAGAAAGUGGAGCAAUCCAUGAGUAAAGUGGCGACCGGGUGAGUAACACGUGACUAACCUACCUUCGAGUGGGGGAUAACCUCGGGAAACCGAGGCUAAUACCGCAUAACAUCGCAAGAUCAAAGCAGCAAUGCGCUGGAAGAGGGGGUCGCGGCUGAUUAGCUAGUUGGCGGGGUAAUGGCCCACCAAGGCAGUGAUCUGUA
rnacentral:rRNA from 1 species